AAACUUGCACCAAGAUCGUGAGGUUGAUCGCGAAAAAAAUAAUACGGAAGAAAGGAAAAACAUUUGCAAACCGGAGGACCAAAACAGCAAUAAAAUUGAAAAUUUGGUUUGCCGAAUUAAAUUAUUUUUCUAUUUCAUUAUUAGUAAAACUAAUUAAUAAUUUAUUUAACACGAAAACUCGAUUGCGAUUUUUUGAGAGUGAGAAAGAGCCAGCGAGGCCUGGAAACAAAAAGCGUGAAGGAGACCGUAGCAAGUAGGAAGAAGAAACCAGACCUGGCUUCGUCUCUGAUAGAUCGUCCAAUUUUCUAUCCGAAUUUUGGCCAACUGAUUCUGGUUUCGGUGGAUGAACAAUGAACAGAACGAGAGAGAUCCUGAUAACAUCAACAACAAGAAGAAGAAAAAGGAAUCUCCAUUGUUGAUUUACUCCGUCUCGAAAGCAAAGAAACGAAUCGUGUCUAAGUUCAGAAGGAGACCCUUAUCGCCGAAUACGUCUCCUUCUUCUGGGUUUUGGAAAAGAGUCUGCUUUUGUGGAAUUGAACCUGACCCUGAAGAUGACAACUUUAAGCUUAGGGUUCUGCUACAGACCAAUGAUUUCUUCUCCAAGGAUUCUAAUCCACAUCUCUGUUUGUAAGUUCAGAUAUAUAUAUAUAUAUAUAUAUAUAUAGUGUAGUUUUCAUUUAGUAUACCACCAAUAUCUGUAUAGAUCUUCUUUUAAACUUCAUCAAUAUCAAAAGUGUGUUCAUCAAUGUUACCAAAGAUUUUUGCAGAACAGAGUGAUUAUUGUUAAUGAAUCUUGUAUAUCUGCCUCUUAUGCUCAUCAUUAAUAUCUGUGGGUCUUUCUUGUCUCUCUUCAUAGUUCCGUAUGAUAGUUUCUAUAUGUCUCUGACAAUGUCACUCUUUGUCCAUAAUAUCCAAACUAGUUUGUAAGAUCAGAAAUUUGAGCCCAAGUUUGAAUCUCAGAGUAUCACACUCAACGAAUAUUAAUUGCUAAUGUCUGAUAUCUGUUUCCAUGUGUUGAAUAUCUCUACUAGUAAAGCCCAAGUUUAUUUUGGCAAGUGUUGUUUACCUUUGACACAUCUAGGGUAACCAUUUUCAAUGGUUUUAUGAAUAGUUGAAUUUUACUGAGACACUGAUGUAGUUGUGGUUUUGAAAUUGCUAUAUGGAUUUAAUCAUCUCUAUGAAGCCGCGGAACCCUUGUGCUAGUUAUGCUUACUAAGUCUUGAUUAUGCAAAUGGUUAUCUCCAAUCAUCGUUUGUUUAUUGAAUCUGAUUCUAAGUGAUUAUGAAGAAGGAGCUUGGAUAGUUAAUGGUUGAUGUUUCAGAGUUGUAGCAUGCCUCUGUGUCCUUUUUUGAGACACGAUUUCCCUCUAAACUCAGCUGAAAGUUCAGCCAUUAAAUCUACUGGAUUGAAAGCACUAAAGAGGACCUUAAUAUUCUUGCAGUAUGCCCCGAACGCCUUGGCAAGCAGGUCAUCAGGAAUCGGUGGGUUAGAACCAAACAGAGAUGGUCCAACAACUUGAGUCCCGGGAAGCUGGCUAUCGAAAGCAGCGAGGACGGAAGCAGGAGCUUUGUUAGGGUUCUGCUGGAAAUGGAGGAGAGCUUUGGGGAAAACGAAAACGUCUCCUUUGUUGACGUGUUUGGAGAUGAGUUUCCCGGUAGUGGUUAAGAAACCGACGAAGAGACGGCCUUCAAGGACGAAGAUGGCUUCAGAGGCUCUUGGGUGAAGAUGUGGUGGGUUAAGUCCGCCAGGUGCGUAGUCGAUCCGAGAGAUGGAGACUCCCAGAGUGUUGAGGCCAGGCACUUUCUCAACGUUGGCUCCUGUAACAGCUGAGCCCAUUGAAGAGUUGGCUGUGGCUGCAGCAGUGGCUAAGCCUAUGAAGUAGAAGUCUUCUGGUGUUACUUUUGCUGGGUCUUUGCAAGGGUAUCCGUUGACUUUCAAACCUAAUCAGAACAUGAUAAAAAGUCAACAACAAAAUAUUGGAAUUGGUCUUGGUUGUUUCAAAACACCAAAGCUGCGUUUGCAGUUAACUAUAUCUGGUAAAUGUAAAUGCAAGCAGAACAUAAAUGGUAUAGAGAGAGAUGUGAUACCGUUGGAGAGAUCAGCAACACAAAAGUCUUGAAGCAUAUUUGUAUCGGCGAGGGCCAUGUGGGCGGCCACGAGCAUGAAGGUGACGAAUAUAGGGAUCAUGGAAGUUGCCAUUGUUGAUUGUUGUUGUUUGUAAGAUGUUAUUGAUGAGUUUGAGAAAAUACUUUAACAUUGUUUCUCAAUUUAUAUAUCUACGUAAAGAAGAUUUAACCAAUGGAAAACCAAUGGAGAAGAGAUAAUUAUGGAGAGGGG
rnacentral:lncRNA from 1 species